GUUGUACCAAACUAUCUGGGUCCAUUAGAGGAGAGGAGUUGUACCAAACUAUCUGGGUCCAUUAGAGGAGAGGCGUUGUACCAAACUAUCUGGGUCCAUUAGAGGAGAGGAGUUGUACCAAACUAUCUGGGUCCAUUAGAGGAGAGGCGUUGUACCAAACUAUCUGGGUCCAUUAGAGGAGAGGAGUUGUACCAAACUAUCUGGGUCCAUUAGAGGAGAGGAGUUGUACCAAACUAUCUGGGUCCAUUAGAGGAGAGGAGUUGUACCAAACUAUCUGGGUCCAUUAGAGGAGAGGAGUUGCACCAAACUAUCUGGGUCCAUUAGAGGAGAGGAGUUGUACCAAACUAUCUGGGUCCAUUAGAGGAGAGGCGUUGUACCAAACUAUCUGGGUCCAUUAGAGGAGAGGAGUUGUACCAAACUAUCUGGGUCCAUUAGAGGAGAGGAGUUGUACCAAACUAUCUGGGUCCAUUAGAGGAGAGGAGUUGUACCAAACUAUCUGGGUCCAUUAGAGGAGAGGAGUUGUACCAAACUAUCUGGGUCCAUUAGAGGAGAGGCGUUGUACCAAACUAUCUGGGUCCAUUAGAGGAGAGGAGUUGUACCAAACUAUCUGGGUCCAUUAGAGGAGAGGAGUUGUACCAAACUAUCUGGGUCCAUUAGAGGAGAGGAGUUGUACCAAACUAUCUGGGUCCAUUAGAGGAGAGGCGAUGUACCAAACUAUUUGGGUCCAUUAGAGGAGAGGCGUUGUACCAAACUAUCUGGGUCCAUUAGAGGAGAGGCGUUGUACCAAACUAUCUGGGUCCAUUAGAGGAGAGGAGUUGUUAGGUGUUGCUUUAUCUGUUUUUUAAACCAGGUUUGCUGUUUAUUUGAGCAAUAUGAGAUGGAAGGAAGUUCCAUGCAAUAAGGUCUCUAUAUAAUACUGUACGCUUUCUUGAAUUUGUUCUGGAUUUGGGGACUGUGAAAAGACCCCUGGUGGCAUGUCUGGUGGGAUAGGUACGUGUCAUUGCUGUGUGUAAGUUGACUAUGCAAACAAUUUUGAAUUUUCCACACAAAAUGUUUCUUAUAAAAACAAGUGAUGCAGUCAGUCUCUCCUCAACUCUGAGCCAAGAGAGACUGGCAGUAUAGUAUGUACAUCAGCCCUCUGAUUACAAUGAAGAGCAAAACGUGCCGCUCUGUUCUGGGCCAGCUGCAGCUUAACUAGGUCUUUCUUAGCAACACUGGACCACACGACUGGACAAUAAUCAAGAUUAAACAAAACUAGAGCCUGCAGGUCUUGCUUUGUGGAGAGCGCUGUUAAAAAAGCAGAGCAUAUCUUUGUUACGGACAUCUCUCCCCAUCUUUACAACCAUUGAAUCUAUGUGUUUUGACCAUGACAGGUUACAUUCUAAGGUAACACCAAGUAAUUUAGUCUCCUCAACUUGUUCAACAGCCACACCAUUCAUUACCAGAUUCAGCUGAGGUCUAGAACUUAAGGAAUGAUUUGUACCAAAUACAAUGCUCUUAGUUUUAGAGAUGUUCAGGACCAGUUUAUUACUGGCCACCCAUUCCAAAACAGACUGCAACUCUUUGUUAAGGGUUUCAGUGACUUCAUUAGCUGUGGUUGCUGAUGUGUAUAUGGUUGAAUCAUUAGCAUACGUGGACACACAUGCUUUGUUUAAUGCCAGUGGCAGGUCAUUGGUAAACAUUUAAAAGAGUAGAGGUCCUAGAAAGCUGCCCUGCGGUACACCACACUAUUUAUGUUUGACAUUAGAGAAGCUUCCAUUAAAGAAAACCACCUGAGUUCUAUUAAAUAGAUAGCUCAGAGACCACAAUAUGGCAGAGGUUGAAAAGCCAUAACACAUACAUUUUCUCAACAACAGGUUUUAGUCAAUAAUGUCAAAUGGCUGUAGUGAAAUCUAACAGUACAGCUCCCACAAUCUUCUUAUCAACUUAUUUCAACUAAUCAUCAGUCAUUAGUGUCAGUGUAGUACAUGUUGAGUUCCCUUCUCUAUAAGCAUGCUGAAAGUCUGCUGUUCAUUUCUUUAUAGAGAAAUAGCAUUGUAUUUGCUGUAAGACCAUUUGUUCCAAUAGUUUGCUAAGAGCUUAUAGGCCUGCUGUUAGAACCAGUAACCAAUCACUUUGGCUUCCCUCCAGGCCUGAGGACAAAGACGUUCCUCUCAUCUCAGAUUAAAAAUAUGACAGACAGGAGUGGCUAUAGAGUUAGCUACCAUCCCCAGUAGCUUUCCAUCUCAGUUGUCAAUGCCAGGAGGUUUUCCGUUAUUGAUCAUUAACAAUCAUUUCCCCACCUCUCCCACACUAACUUUACAAAAUACAAACUUGCAAUGGUUUUCUUUCAUUACUUGUUUUUCUUAUGCAUGAAUAUGAUGGCUCACUGUUCAUUGUUGGAAUUUCCUGCCUAAGUUUGACCACUUUGCCAAUGAAGUAAUCAUUAAAAUAAUUGGAAACAUCAAAUGGUUUUGUGAUGAAUAAGCCAUCUGAUUUGAUGAAAGUUGAAUUUGUCUUUCUGACCGUUAUUUCAUUGACAGUUUUUUCCCCAUCAUUCUUUAUUGAUCUUGGAUUUGGAUUGGAAAUUAAGCGGUGAUUUAUGAAAACAACAUGCUAGUGUUGUAACUUUUAUUUCUCUUUUUAUUUAGAAAUGUUCACCGAUAUCAAAAUGUUUUUUUGUGAUGUAAAUAAUGCAUAAUUUCAUAAUUCAAUUCUUAUUAUUUUUCUUCAAAAAUGUCUCUCAAACAAUGAAGUUUGAGAUCUGAAUAACAAUCUAUUAUCUUUAUUGUUCCUGUAGUAUAUCUACACCAUAGUACACCCCUUCAAAUUAGUGUAUUCAGUUAUUUCAGCCACACCCAUUGCUGAAUAAAACCGAGCACACACCCAUGCAAUCUUCAUAGACAAACAGUGGCAGUAGGAUGGCCUUGCUGAAGGGCUCAGUGACAUUCAACUUGGCACCGUCAAAGGAUGCCACCUUUCAAACAAGUCAGUUUGUCAAAUUUCUGCCAAAUUUCUACUUCCAGAUUAACUGUAAUGUCAACAUCAUUGUAAUAGCCAAUUUCUCCCCUUUCCAACAAAAUAAAUGACAUGACCUAAACGCUGCCCGUUUCUGCAAAGCAAUGAGCCCCGUCGGGUCUUUUGAAAAGUGGAGGGUGGGGAAGCGAAACUAAUGCGUGAUAGUGAGAAGGAGAGGAGAUGUGGGGGAAAAUUGAUAUUUUUCACUCGAUCUGUCCAACUUUUCACCUUAUCGCCUCUAAAAUGUAAAUAAAACACUAUAAAGAGUUUA
ensembl:lncRNA